CCUACGGGGGGCUGCAGUGGGGAAUAUUGCGCAAUGGGGGAAACCCUGACGCAGCGACGCCGCGUGUGGGAUGACGGCCUUCGGGUUGUAAACCACUGUCGGGAGGGACGAAGAUCUGACGGUACCUCCAAAGGAAGCACCGGCUAACUCUGUGCCAGCAGCCGCGGUAAUACAGAGGGUGCGAGCGUUGUCCGGAAUUACUGGGCGUAAAGGGCGCGUAGGCGGUUCGAUAAGUAGGGGGUGAAAUCUCACGGCUCAACCGGGAGGCUGCCUUC
rnacentral:rRNA from 1 species